UGGGGGAUAUUGCACAAUGGGCGAAAGCCUGAUGCAGCGACGCCGCGUGGGGGAUGAAGGCCUUCGGGUUGUAAACUUCUUUUGCUCUGAACAAGGCAUGCUAAUGGGUGUGUUGAGUGUAGGGGUUGAUUAGCGCCGGCUAACUACGUGCCAGCAGCCGCGGUAAUACGUAGGGCGCGAGCGUUGUCCGGAAUUAUUGGGCGUAAAGGGCUUGUAGGUGGCUGGUUGCGUCUGUCGUGAAAGCUCAUGGCUUAACUGAGGGUUUGCGGUGGGUACGGGCUGGCUUGAGUGCAGUAGGGGAGGCUGGAAUUCCUGGUGUAGCGGUGGAAUGCGCAGAUAUCAGGAGGAAUACCGGUGGCGAAGGCGGGUCUCUGGGCUGUUACUGACACUGAGGAGCGAAAGCAUGGGGAGCGAACAGG
rnacentral:rRNA from 1 species